CGGGACACGUGGUAUCCUGUCUGAAUAUGGGGGGACCAUCCUCCAAGGCUAAAUACUCCUGACUGACCGAUAGUGAACCAGUACCGUGAGGGAAAGGCGAAAAGAACCCCGGCGAGGGGAGUGAAAAAGAACCUGAAACCGUGUACGUACAAGCAGUGGGAGCCUCUUAAUGGGGUGACUGCGUACCUUUUGUAUAAUGGGUCAGCGACUUAUAUUCUGUAGCAAGGUUAACCGAAUAGGGGAGCCGAAGGGAAACCGAGUCUUAACUGGGCGUUAAGUUGCAGGGUAUAGACCCGAAACCCGGUGAUCUAGCCAUGGGCAGGUUGAAGGUUGGGUAACACUAACUGGAGGACCGAACCGACUAAUGUUGAAAAAUUAGCGGAUGACUUGUGGCUGGGGGUGAAAGGCCAAUCAAACCGGGAGAUAGCUGGUUCUCCCCGAAAGCUAUUUAGGUAGCGCCUCGUGAAUUCAUCUCCGGGGGUAGAGCACUGUUUCGGCAAGGGGGUCAUCCCGACUUACCAACCCGAUGCAAACUGCGAAUACCGGAGAAUGUUAUCACGGGAGACACACGGCGGGUGCUAACGUCCGUCGUGAAGAGGGAAACAACCCAGACCGCCAGCUAAGGUCCCAAAGUCAUGGUUAAGUGGGAAACGAUGUGGGAAGGCCCAGACAGCCAGGAUGUUGGCUUAGAAGCAGCCAUCAUUUAAAGAAAGCGUAAUAGCUCACUGGUCGAGUCGGCCUGCGCGGAAGAUGUAACGGGGCUAAACCAUGCACCGAAGCUGCGGCAGCGACACUAUGUGUUGUUGGGUAGGGGAGCGUUCUGUAAGCCUGUGAAGGUGUGCUGUGAGGCAUGCUGGAGGUAUCAGAAGUGCGAAUGCUGACAUAAGUAACGAUAAAGCGGGUGAAAAGCCCGCUCGCCGGAAGACCAAGGGUUCCUGUCCAACGUUAAUCGGGGCAGGGUGAGUCGACCCCUAAGGCGAGGCCGAAAGGCGUAGUCGAUGGGAAACAGGUUAAUAUUCCUGUACUUGGUGUUACUGCGAAGGGGGGACGGAGAAGGCUAUGUUGGCCGGGCGACGGUUGUCCCGGUUUAAGCGUGUAGGCUGG
rnacentral:rRNA from 1 species